rnacentral:rRNA from 1 species
GACGAACGCUGGCGGCGUGCUUAACACAUGCAAGUCGAACGGAAAGGCCCUGCUUUUGUGGGGUGCUCGAGUGGCGAACGGGUGAGUAACACGUGAGUAACCUGCCCUUGACUUUGGGAUAACUUCAGGAAACUGGGGCUAAUACCGGAUAGGAGCUCCUGCUGCAUGGUGGGGGUUGGAAAGUUUCGGCGGUUGGGGAUGGACUCGCGGCUUAUCAGCUUGUUGGUGGGGUAGUGGCUUACCAAGGCUUUGACGGGUAGCCGGCCUGAGAGGGUGACCGGCCACAUUGGGACUGAGAUACGGCCCAGACUCCUACGGGAGGCAGCAGUGGGGAAUAUUGCACAAUGGGCGGAAGCCUGAUGCAGCAACGCCGCGUGCGGGAUGACGGCCUUCGGGUUGUAAACCGCUUUCGCCUGUGACGAAGCGUGAGUGACGGUAAUGGGUAAAGAAGCACCGGCUAACUACGUGCCAGCAGCCGCGGUGAUACGUAGGGUGCGAGCGUUGUCCGGAUUUAUUGGGCGUAAAGGGCUCGUAGGUGGUUGAUCGCGUCGGAAGUGUAAUCUUGGGGCUUAACCCUGAGCGUGCUUUCGAUACGGGUUGACUUGAGGAAGGUAGGGGAGAAUGGAAUUCCUGGUGGAGCGGUGGAAUGCGCAGAUAUCAGGAGGAACACCAGUGGCGAAGGCGGUUCUCUGGGCCCUUUCCUGACGCUGAGGAGCGAAAGCGUGGGGAGCGAACAGGCUUAGAUACCCUGGUAGUCCACGCUGUAAACGGUGGGUACUAGGUGUGGGGUCCAUUCCACGGGUUCCGUGCCGUAGCUAACGCUUUAAGUACCCCGCCUGGGGAGUACGGCCGCAAGGCUAAAACUCAAAGGAAUUGACGGGGCCCCGCACAAGCGGCGGAGCAUGCGGAUUAAUUCGAUGCAACGCGUAGAACCUUACCUGGGUUUGACAUGGAUCGGGAGUGCUCAGAGAUGGGUGUGCCUCUUUUGGGGUCGGUUCACAGGUGGUGCAUGGCUGUCGUCAGCUCGUGUCGUGAGAUGUUGGGUUAAGUCCCGCAACGAGCGCAACCCUUGUUCACUGUUGCCAGCACGUUAUGGUGGGGACUCAGUGGAGACCGCCGGGGUCAACUCGGAGGAAGGUGGGGAUGACGUCAAGUCAUCAUGCCCCUUAUGUCCAGGGCUUCACGCAUGCUACAAUGGCUGGUACAGAGAGUGGCGAGCCUGUGAGGGUGAGCGAAUCUCGGAAAGCCGGUCUCAGUUCGGAUUGGGGUCUGCAACUCGACCUCAUGAAGUCGGAGUCGCUAGUAAUCGCAGAUCAGCAACGCUGCGGUGAAUACGUUCCCGGGGCU